UACGGAGGGGUGCGAGCGUUGUCCGGAAUCACUGGGGCGUAAAGGGGCGCGUAGGUGGCGGGAGCAAGUCAACGGUGAAAGCUCGACGCUCGACGUCGAGUCGGGCCCGUCGAGACUGCUUUGCUCGAGCACUGUAGAGGGCAGAUGGGAAUUCCGGGGUGUAGCGGGUGGGAAUGCGUUAGGAGAUCCCGGGAAAGAACACCCGGGUGGGCGAAGGGCGGGUCU
rnacentral:rRNA from 1 species